rnacentral:rRNA from 1 species
GAUGAACGCUGGCGGCGUGCCUAAUACAUGCAAGUCGAGCGAACAGACGAGGAGCUUGCUCCUCUGACGUUAGCGGCGGACGGGUGAGUAACACGUGGAUAACCUACCUAUAAGACUGGGAUAACUUCGGGAAACCGGAGCUAAUACCGGAUAAUAUAUUGAACCGCAUGGUUCAAUAGUGAAAGACGGUUUUGCUGUCACUUAUAGAUGGAUCCGCGCCGCAUUAGCUAGUUGGUAAGGUAACGGCUUACCAAGGCAACGAUGCGUAGCCGACCUGAGAGGGUGAUCGGCCCCCCUGGAACUGAGACACGGUCCAGACUCCUACGGGAGGCAGCAGUAGGGCCUCUUCCGCAAUGGGCGAAAGCCUGACGGAGCAACGCCGCGUGAGUGAUGAAGGUCUUCGGAUCGUAAAACUCUGUUAUUAGGGAAGAACAAAUGUGUAAGUAACUAUGCACGUCUUGACGGUACCUAAUCAGAAAGCCACGGCUAACUACGUG